GACGAACGCUGGCGGCGUGCUUAACACAUGCAAGUCGAACGGAAAGGCCCCUUUUUGGGUGCGCGAGUGGCUAACGGAUGAGUAACACGUGCGUAACCUGCCCUUCAUUUACUGAUAACUUCAGCAAACUAGGUCUAAUACCUACUAGGAAUCCUUGCUGCAUGGUUGGGGUUGUAAAACUUCGUCGGUUUUGGAUGGACUCGCGGCCCAUCAACUUUUUGGUGGGGUAGUUGCUUAACAAAGCCGUGACGGGUAGCCGGGCCGAGAGGGGGACACGGCCAAAUUGGGAUGGGGUAAGGGCCAGACCCCUACGGGAAGGAGGCGGGGGGGAUAUUGGCAAAAGGGGGGAAGCCUGAAGCAGCAGAGCCGGGUGCGGGAAGGAGGCCUUCGGGUUGUUAAACGCUUUCAGCUAGGGACGAGGUUGUAGUGACGGUACCUGCAGAAGAAGCACCGGCUAACUACGUG
rnacentral:rRNA from 1 species